rnacentral:rRNA from 1 species
UACGGAGGGUGCAAGCGUUUAAUCGGAAUUACUGGGCGUAAAGCGUGCGUAGGCGGUUCGUUAAGUCUGUUGUGAAAGUCCGGGGCUCAACCCCGGGAGGCGGGCGGAUACUGUCGGGCUAGAGUCCGGAAGAGGCGAGUGGAAUUCCUGGUGUAGCGGUGAAAUGGCGCAGAUAUCAGGAGGAACACCAAUGGCGAAGGCAGCUCGCUGGGACGGUACUGACGCUGAGGCGCGAAAGCGUGGGGAGCAAACAGG